rnacentral:tRNA from 3 species
GGGCUAAUAGCUCAACUGGCAGAGCAGCUGACUCUUAAUCAGCGGGUUCGGGGUUCGAGUCCCUGUUAGCCCACCA